ACGAUGCGACGCCGCGUGGGGGAUGAAGGUCUUCGGAUUGUAAACCUCUGUGUUAUGGGAAGAAUUGCUAGUGGGUGAUAAGCCUGCUAGCGUGACGGUACCAUAGUAGAAAGCCCCAGCUAACUACGUGCCAGCAGCUGCGGUAAUACGUGGGGGGCAAGCGUUGUCCGGAUUUACUGGGCGUAAAGCGUGUGUAGGCGGCUAUAUUAGUCGAGUGUGAAAUGGCUUGGCUCAACCAAGCAACUGCGCUCGAUACUGUAUGGCUUGAGUACGGAAGAGGAAAGUGGAAUGUAAGGUGUAGCGGUGAAAUGCGUAGAUAUCUUAUAGAACACCUAUGGCGAAGGCAGCUUUCUGGUCCGAUACUGACGCUGAGUAUACGAAAGCUUGGGGAGCGAACGGGAUUAGAUACCCCGGUAGUCCAAGCUGUAAACGAUGGGUACUAAGUGUAGGGGGUAUUGAUUCCUCCUGUGCUGUAGCUAACGCAUUAAGUACCCCGCCUGGGGAGUACGGCCACAAGGUUAAAACUCAAGGUAAUUGACGGGGGGCCGCACAAGCGGUGGAGCAUGUCGCUUAAUUCGAAGCAACGCGAAGAACCUUAUCCAGGGCUUGACAUCGCGCUGACCGCCAUAGAAAUAUGGCUUUCCUUUUGGACAGCGUGACAGGUGCUGCAUGGCUGUCGUCAGCUCGUGUCGUGAGAUGUUGGGUUAAGUCCCGCAACGAGCGCAACCCCUGUCGCUAGUUACCAUCAGGUAAUGCUGGGGACUCUAGUGAGACCGCUGGUGACGAGCC
rnacentral:rRNA from 1 species